GAGUUUGAUCCUGGUCAGAACGAACGCUGGCGGCGUGCCUAACACAUGCAAGUCCAACGUGAAAGGGGAGCAAUCCCCCGGUAGGGUGGCAAACGGGUGAGUAAUACAUGGGUGAUCUACCUUAGGGAUGGGGAUAUCCUUCCGAAAGGAGGGGCAAUACCGAAUAUUGUCCGGAGCCGUGAAGGGUUCCGGGGAAAGGGAGGCCUCUGAUACAAGCUUUCGCCUUAAGGUGAGCCCAUGGCCCAUCAGCUAGUUGGUAGGGUAAAGGCCUACCAAGGCUACGACGGGUCGCUGGUCUGAGAGGACGACCAGCCACACUGGCACUGAGAUACGGGCCAGACUCCUACGGGAGGCAGCAGUGAGGAAUAUUGCGCAAUGGGGGAAACCCUGACGCAGCAACGCCGCGCGUGGGAAGAAGGCCUUCGGGUCGUAAACCACUUUUACUCGGGACGAAGAAGGGAUAUCAAAUAAAUAUCCCCGAUGACGGUACCGUGAGAAUAAGCCACGGCUAACUCUGUGCCAGCAGCCGCGGUAGACAGAGGUGGCAAGCGUUGUCGAAUACUGGCGUAAGAGUCU
rnacentral:rRNA from 1 species